CCAGACUCCUACGGGAGGCAGCAGUGGGGAAUAUUGGGCAAUGGGCGCAAGCCUGACCCAGCAAUGCCGCGUGAAGGAAGAAGGCCUUCGGGUUGUAAACUUCUUUUAUCAGGGACGAAGGAUGUGACGGUACCUGAGGAAUAAGCCACGGCUAACUACGUGCCAGCAGCCGCGGUAAUACGUAGGUGGCAAGCGUUAUCCGGAUUUAUUGGGUGUAAAGGGCGUGUAGGCGGGAGCGCAAGUCAGAUGUGAAAACUCAGGGCUCAACCCUGAGCCUGCAUUUGAAACUGUGUUUCUUGAGUGCUGGAGAGGCAAUCGGAAUUCCGUGUGUAGCGGUGAAAUGCGUAGAUAUCAGGAGGAACACCGGCGGCGAAGGCGGCCUGCUGGACCGUGACUGACGUUGAGGCUCGAGAGCGUGGGGAGCAAACAGGAUUAGAUACCCGCGUA
rnacentral:rRNA from 1 species